UUCAUGUAACAUUACACACGUUAUCACAAAAGUUCGUCAAUAUAUUACGGAAUUUAUCACUAUUUAUUUCGGAAUGAGUUUUUGUAUACUAUCUUAAAUGUUCCAGAAACUAAAUGCGGUCACUGGUCGAUGACCUCGCACGUUUUUUGUGCUUCAAGUUGGGAUUUACACAAUUCUGCAAUGUUUUGUAAUUUGGAAUAAAAAUACGAAAAGGUUGCUGCAGGCCAUUAGCAUUGACCGUGCAUAUAUGCAGAUAUUUAUUCAUGGUGGAUUAUAGUUAAAUUUAAUUAUCUUCCUGAACUCCAAGCAUGGAUAACAACUACCUGAAUUGAUUGUGGAUAACCUUCAACAGCUAUACCACUCAAACAGUUUAAAUGAUAUUCUGGAUAAUAUAUACAGUUAAAAAUAAGUAAAAACAGUGCUAUACAGACAGUAUUGUGAGGAAUGUGAUUUUUAUAAUGCAUUUUGGUUUUUCGAUUUUUUUUAUUUUUUUUUUAUUAUUGUUAUAAUAAAUAAAUUUUAGUCUUUA